CCUACGGGUGGCAGCAGUGGGGAAUAUUGGACAAUGGGGGAAACCCUGAUCCAGCGACGCCGCGUGAGGGAAGACGGUCCUAUGGAUUGUAAACCUCUUUUGUCGGGGAGCAAAAGACGCCACGCGUGGCGUUCCGAGAGUACCCGAAGAAAAAGCAUCGGCUAACUACGUGCCAGCAGCCGCGGUAAUACGUAGGGAGCGAGCGUUGUCCGGAAUUACUGGGUGUAAAGGGAGCGUAGGCGGGACGGCAAGUCAGAUGUGAAAACUGAGGGCUCAACUUUCAGACUGCAUUUGAAACUGCUGUUCUUGAGUGAAGUAGAGGUAAGCGGAAUUCCUAGUGUAGCGGUGAAAUGCGUAGAUAUUAGGAGGAACAUCGGUGGCGAAGGCGGCUUACUGGGCUUUUACUGACGCUGAGGCUCGAAAGCGUGGGGAGCAAACAGGAUUAGAUACCCGGGUAGUC
rnacentral:rRNA from 1 species